UACAGAGGUCUCAAGCGUUGUUCGGAUUCAUUGGGCGUAAAGGGUGCGUAGGUGGUGCGGUAAGUCAGGUGUGAAAUCCCGGGGCUCAACCCCGGAACUGCACUUGAUACUGUCGUGCUCGAGGACUGGAGAGGAGAUCGGAAUUCAUGGUGUAGCAGUGAAAUGCGUAGAUAUCAUGAGGAAGACCAGUGGCGAAGGCGGAUCUCUGGACAGUUCCUGACACUGAGGCACGAAGGCCAGGGGAGCAAACGGG
rnacentral:rRNA from 1 species